AUACUUACCUGGCACAGGAGAUACCGUGGUCACGAAGGCAGUUUUCCCAGGGCGAGGCUCACCAUUGCACUCCAGUGGUGCUGACCCCUGCGAUUAACCCAAAUGUGGUUAACUUGAGUGCGAAUGUAGUAAGCGGAGGCGGAAAUGCGUUACACUGCCCUCUG